GAAUAGUGGGGAUAUUGAGGGGCGACUAAAAGAAAAGAAUGGAAUCCGAUCGACAGUUAGCUUCGAAAUAGGAAGCGAUAAAGUCGAGCUGUAACCGGACAGCGAGAUUGACUAGCGAAACUGAGAACAAUACGCGACGCGAUCAAAAGAAGACACUUGUUAAUAAAUAUAUUGUUGACCUAAACAUCGAGUGAUUAUUUAACGCACUACACCCAAUGACACAUCAGAGAUAUCGCGUAGUAAUUAUAAUACGUUGACAAAAAUUGCCUAUGAAUACGUGCGCACUCCUUCGUCGUUAAAUUAAACCGUUAAACAUAAGUAAGUGUUACAGUACUUUCGAACUAUAGAGAUUAGGAUGUGAAAGAACAACAUGCCAGAUAGAGCCAGCCAAAGUUUCGGCUGGACGUGACCCGAAGUGUCCUGGAAAUUGCCGUGUAAUUUGUCUAUAUUGUGCAAGAGAAGAAAUAAAAUAGAAAAAUAGAAAAGAAGGAAAUGCGAGCAAAUGAAGAUAUAGGAUGGAUCCAGCGAAGUAUCCAAAUUUUGUUUCGUGUUAAACCCAAUUGCCGAGUUCCGUUCGAAUUGAUUCAAUGCCAAAGUUAUUCAGUUGAGAAAAACAGAUAAACGAUAACCAAGUCGUUAUGGAAAUAGUUAGGAAUAGGAAUAAAAAAAAUUGCAGGAAACUGACGGGUACGGAGGAACGUGACAAUAUGAACGCGACACGCAAGUAACAACGCAGUCGUUAUUUUUCAUAAUUAUCCGGCAAAACGAAUCUGUGGAAAACAAAAGUUGUGGAGCGUUAACGAGGAGGAUUUUCAGUCGAUCCAAUGGAUAAUGACAUUAGCUCUCUGUGCUGUCGCAUUAUUUUAAUGGCAAAUUCUUUAUUUCGCUUCUCUUUCGCCGGUGUAUUCAAGAGCUUUUUAAGAUUUAACGAGGACGUGGCCGCCUUUCAAUUUUACCGGUGCGAAAACAGCAACUGAAAAGAUACAAAAUAUCGCCCCUGACCAUAAUUCCCUCUUCUCUGUUGAGUUGUCGUCGUCGCCGAAUUUUCCUACUGCUAAAAACCACUCAACAGAGUGCGCAGGAUCCAAGUGGCGAAUAUUUUUGCAAUUAUUUUGCUGACUUUGCAAGCACAGUGGCUCUUUAUUUUUAUUCUCAGACCAAGUAGGCGUGUCUGGUCAAAUCUAUUUCUGUUUUGGUUUUCACAAGAAUGGCUUGAAAUAUAAAAUAUUAUACUCUCGGUUUUAAUUAAUGAAGACAGAACUUUCUCAUUUAAUAGAUUUUUGUGUUGUCUAUUUGGCAUUUUGCGCUAGCGGCUACAUUUUAAGCGAAAUAAAGAGAUACGCCCUUUUUACCAGAGUUAUUUCUAAAAAUUGUUAAGGUUCGGGUCUGAGUGAAAAUCGUGGGAACAACGAGUUUCGCAGAUGUAAAUAACAUGGUAUGCUUGACAUUCUAAUUUUUUCGGUGGGGCGUGAGCUUCUCUGGCUGGAAAUACGCGUUUCCCGCCCUUUUCCCUUCCCACCAUUGAUUUUCUACGGCACUGCGGAGACCGCAUCUCUUUUAUCUAUAGCUCAGAGACAACAUUCCUUCUUAAUUUGUUCCGAAUCACAGGAUUCACGAUCAUCCGACGUUUAUCCUGCGCUAUUCAGACACGGUUGUUAGCUUUUUUCAGUGUUUAUCGAGGUUUUACGUGGAAAUGAAAGAUACUAUUUUAUUCCAUGCCAAGUAUAUUUUGAACUAUUUUUCCAAAAAAGGAGGAAGUAAAAUAAAAAAACAACAGGCAAGAGCUUGUAAUUAAAUUUCAGGGAAAACGUGAAACAAAAUCAAAGUGCAGAUCCAAGAGAAAAAAUCAGAGAAGAAAAAAAAAUCUCUUCGUGUACAAAAUGUUACAUUGAAAUGGAUAUUUUUAAACAUCAAAAGCGUGAAACUCGAGACACCGUUUCAACCAUGUUAAGACAAAUUAAAUCCAAAAAAAAGCGAAGAAAAGGGAAAAGCAGAAAGAGAAUUGGUUUCUCUUUCUAAAGCGUUUAAGAAAAUGGUAAUUACACAGAAAAAAAGAACAUCUUCCCGAUUUCAAUGGGCAUGAGAUACGCUGUCAAGGACGACACAGUGAACUACUUUUUUCUACAUACGCAGCCACAGCUCGGUCCUCGUUUUACCGAGACAUUUCCAAAAAACUUCAAUUAAAUUUGAGUUCCAUUACGCUUCAUUCUGGUGUAUAGAUAGUCGUUCAAUUUUUGUAUAGUUCAACCUAACCUUAACUUAUCGAUGCUAAUUAUCUUCAAUAUAAAUAAAAAAAAAGAUAAAUCAAUGGGUUGUAGAUUAUUAAAUUAGAAUUUAGUUAAAUGUUAGUUAAAUGCUAGAUUAAUAUAUUUCACAACGUUGGCACGACUUGGUAUUCAUUUCAUUCGCUUUUGUAAGUGUUCGUAAAUUCGACUACUAUCGUUUAUUAUUAUACGCUUCUGUCUAUAGCUGAAAACGUUACGCGUUAAGGGCAUUUAUAGACACCUGCUGACUCUAAUUUAUUGACAGACAAGUAAGACAUAGUAUAACAUUUCAUAGAUCGAUAGAUUCACUGAAAAUCAUUCGGUUGGCAACUAAGUGAUAGCGGAUUUUGUCAUUACCACCUAAUGUGAAAAUCUGCAAUCACUUAGUUGCCAACCCAAUAAUUCACGUUAGCAUUAUCCAGUAGCCUUCCCAUUUUUUUCUUCUAUCUAUUUAAAGUGGUUUUCUCUCUCUCUCUCAUUAGCUAAUUAAGUUUACAUUGGAUUAUGUAAGGAUAUAUAUGUAGGAAAUAUAUAUUGGAUUAUGUAAGGAAAUAUAUGUAGCCACCUACUCGACAAUCCGACGUAAUCGUGACGUAAAUUAUAUCGAAGGUUUCCGCUGAUACAGUUUUUCCUCAAAACAAUCAACUAGUUUCUCACUGGAAACAGACAACUCACUAUGUUUCCAUUUGAAGUUUUUUUUAUUUGAUUUACCGACAGAGUAAGAAAUCGCAGAAUGAGUAAGCGAUCCGUAAAAGCGAGAAACCAUCAAUUUUUAUGAUCCAACGAACAGUGACUCGUUUCAGUAAAAGACCAAUGGAAUACGUACAAUGCUUCCUGACUCUGGUUUAGCAAUCCUCGCGUAUUACGUGCUGCUCAACCGAUCGCUUUAUACGAUCCGUCGCUAUCUCGAGUUCCUCGCUCGUUCUCCGUAUUCUCGCUUGUCCCGUUCGAGAACAAAGUGAAACCGAAUAGCAUGCCAGACUCGUAAUGAGCAUCUCGUCGAUCCUGAGCGUGCGGCUUAUUUCCAAGCAAAAUUGUAUGUCGGAAACUAAGGUCGCAAGCGACGGUAACAUAUACAGUAGGACAAGCGCAAGUUCGAACGGUUCGAUAUUCGAACAAUUUCAAUUCGAACGAACGUGUCAAGGGAAAUCCAGCUUCUGAACUCGAAGGAAAACUGGAAGUUGGAGCAAAGAGACGGACAGUUGCUUGUCGUUGUGUAAGCGUCACGUUGUCGCCUGAUCUCUCUGCUCAGGCCGGGAUCGGGACAGUGAAAUGCAGGUUAAGAAGAAGAAAGAGAAACAAAGGGACGUUUGUCGUUUCGACGCUCGUUCUUGCAGUCGUCGGUGUAGUUCUUCUGUGAUUGUCUCAGCGAGUGUACUAAAUUUGUUUUCUUACCAUUUAUUAAUACGAAUUUUAGGGACAGGUAUUUGCAAUGUCUCAUAUUGAGAACAUGUCGAAUGGGAGGGAUCGAUUCAACUUACGCCAUUUCAAAUGGGACAAUUUAAUUCGAUGUUCGACCAACUCGAGGCUCGAACCGUUGAACGUCUCCUGGAACGGAUAGUGUUCGAUGUUCGAGGAUCUACUGUAUGUAGAGGAAAGUUAUUCGGAAUGUUGAUCUUAGCAUGAAAUUCGUAUUUGAAGAUUCUACAUUAUUUCAUUGUUAAUAAAUAUUUUCCAACCAAGUAACCAGUUGCAAGCUAAUCAAUUUUAUCCGAUGGCUAGAAACUCAAGUCUAUAUUUCAUCAGACAUCAUGAUCUCUACCUAUGUCACAAAAGAGCGAAUUCUUGGCAGACAGUUUCGCGUCAACAGCACUCGCUGGGUACACGUGAGAAAAUUUGUCAGGCUGAUUCAUCGUCUUUCGUUCUUACUCUGCUGCCAGCUAUUGUAAGAAAGUGGCUCUUGUUCAUUGCCAAAAUCCAUUCUAUCCAUGUCCUCGAUCUUAUUAUUAUUAUCCUCCUGUUUGAUAACAAUAACGUUAUUAUUUCAUAGAAAAUUUCCAACUUACAAACUUCCCUCUCAACUCGGUUUCUAAAUUUAAAAUAUUUAAACAGUUUGCAAUUUAAAAAAUGGUGACUGGACGUUCUCCUCCCGUUUAGCACCAGAGUUGGUCAUCGUUCGAAUUGUUUCGAAUAAAUAUUUUCUUACGAUAAUUAUCUUAGGGAUAAAUUCAUAUAAGCUGAAUAUUUUACCUGUGGUAUAAUUAUUUCUUAUCCACGUUAUUUAUUAUCCAUGUUAUUAGCAAAUUAUGUUCUAUAUUUAUUCGAAUAACGAAUAAUAAUGGGAAUUUGUACAAAUAUACGCAGACUCCAAUACGA